ensembl:snRNA LOC120096839 U1 spliceosomal RNA
GUGCUUACCUGGCAGUGCAGAGGCCAUGACGGUGACGGCAGCUCUCCCAGUGCGAGGCUUAGCCACUGUACUCCAGAGCUGUUGGCACCGUGACCUCUGCAGAUAUGGGAGAAUCAACUGCACAGCUGUUACAGUGAGGAACUGUAUUCAAACUCUUCCCUG